rnacentral:misc_RNA from 1 species
CAACCCUCAAGCCCCCGGGUUUGGUGUUGGGGAUCGGCUCUGCCUUCUGGCGGUGCCGCCCCCGAAAUACAUUGGCGGUCUCGCUGCAGCCUCCAUUGCGUAGUAGCUAACACCUCGCAACUGGAACGCGGCGCGGCCAUGCCGUAAAACCCCAACUUCUGAAU